GGUCGUUAGCUCAGUUGGUAGAGCAGUUGACUUUUAAUCAAUUGGUCGCAGGGUUCGAAAUCCUGCACGACCCC
rnacentral:tRNA from 1 species